rnacentral:rRNA from 1 species
CCUACGGGUGGCUGCAGUGAGGAAUAUUGGUCAAUGGGCGCGAGCCUGAACCAGCCAAGUAGCGUGAAGGAUGACUGCCCUAGGAGUUGUAAACUUCUUUUUAAAAGGAGUAAAAUGAGGCACUUGUUCCUUUUUGUAUUUACUUUAUCAAUAAGGAUCGGCUAACUACGUGCCAGCAGCCGCGGUAAUUCGUAGGAACCGAGCGUUAUCCGGAUUUAGUGGGUGUAAAGGUAGCGUAGAUGGGUUGUUAAGUCAGUUGUGAAAGUUUGCGGAGCAACUGUAAAAUUGCAACUGUUACUGGCAGUCUUGAGUACAGUAGAGGUAGGCGGAAUUCGUGGUGUAGCGGUGAAAUGCUUAGAUAUAACGAAGAACUCCGAUGGCGAAGGCAGCUUACUAGGCUGCAACUGACACUGAGGCUCGAAAGUGUGGGGAGCAAACAGGAUUAGAUACCCCUGUAGUC